CCUACGGGAGGCAGCAGUGAGGAAUAUUGGUCAAUGGACGAGAGUCUGAACCAGCCAAGCAGCGUGAAGGAUGACUGUCCUAUGGGUUGUAAACUUCUUUUAUAAAGGAAUAAAACGAGGCACGUGUGCCUUUUUGCAUGUACUUUAUGAAUAAGGAUCGGCUAACUCCGUGCCAGCAGCCGCGGUAAUACGGAGGAUCCGAGCGUUAUCCGGAUUUAUUGGGUUUAAAGGGUGCGUAGAUGGGUUGUUAAGUCAGUUGUGAAAGGUUGCGGCUCAACCGUAAAAUUGCAAUUGAUACUGGCAGUCUUGAGUACAGUUGAGGUAGGCGGAAUUCGUGGUGUAGCGGUGAAAUGCUUAGAUAUCACGAAGAACCCCGAUUGCGAAGGCAGCUUACUAAACUGUGACUGACAUUGAUGCUCGAAAGUGUGGGUAUCAAACAGGAUUAGAUACCCUUGUAGUC
rnacentral:rRNA from 1 species